ensembl:snRNA U1 U1 spliceosomal RNA
AUAAUUAUCUAGUGACAGAGAAACUAUGAUAAAGAAGGUGGCUUUCCCAGGGCAAGCCUCACUUAUUGCACUUUGAUAUGCUGACUUUUGCGAAUUGGAAAACUUGACGAUAUAAUUUGUGGUGGACUGGGGUUGAGUUCAUGCUCUUCUUUGA